ACGACGAGUUCGGUUCCAGCACGCGCUUUAGUCAAACGACACUCUCUCUGACUCGACGAUACGACAGCCCUUCUCAUUACCCCAUCACCCCUUUCGUCUCCGCUCCUGCCUAUUGUCACCCUCUAUUCCAUACAAAGGAAAUAAAAUCAGGGUUUUGCAUUUGUUAUUUUAAUCCCAACUAGUUCCACUCUCUCAAAGAUAAAAUAAUGGAAUCGCCAGCUUGGUUACCGCGACGAGAAGUAAAGCCUCCGCCAACUUCCACUGAAGCCGGAGUCGUAGCAGAUGCUCCUCCAUUGGAGAAUUCAGCUGGUAACAAUGCAAACAGUAGCUGUUCAAUUCAAGCGCCGACAAUCUUGGACCUUGUUAGGUCACAGUGUAGUUUGACAAGGAUCUUGAAUGCUGUUAGGUCAAGGAUAGUCUAAGGAACGACCCAAGAUACAAAUCUGUAAAGCAUGAGGAUAGAGAGGUUUUCUUCAACGAGUAUUUGUCUGAAUUAAAAGCCGCAGAGGGGAAAGCAGAGCGAGAUGCAAGGGGCAAAAGGGAGGAACAGGUAUAAAUUAUUGGCUUGGCACAUAUUGGAAACUGCUCUCUGUCAUGCUUGACUACAAUCUCUGUAAUUAUUGCAACUGCUGUUUGACUGCAUUUUGCUUUUGGAACAUAGGAAAAGUUUCAAAUCUAUGAAUCUGGGUUGUUGUUUAAAUAGUACCCUAACAAGACAAUGAAUCGCCCAGUUUUUAUUGAUCCAUUGACAGCAAUUGCAAAGACAAAAGAAUUUGAUUUGUAGUAUCAAGAAAUUAAAUAUCCAUGUGCUUCGCCCUCUGCAUGUGUUAUAUAGAUUGUCACAUAUUUGUAUCUCAGGCCACUGGAAAUAUUCGAGUUAUGAUCGUGUCAAAUAAUGCAAAAUUGAUUAUGAACUUCAAGUAUAUACCAUGUGCAAAAUCAUUUUUCUGCUCAAGAAGCUGCAAUUAAGCCGCUAGUUGUGGCUGGUCUGGAAAUUUGUUUUUGUAACUAGUGAUAAAGUGUAAAAUCAGCUGUGAAAAUGAUCCAAAUAAGUAAAUCAGAAGGAAAAGGAAGUCACUUGUUUUGCAAUAAAAGGUUGAAUUUUGUGUUACUUGGAGGGAUUUUACUUGUGAAGUAUAGUUUAAAAGCUAGAUGGAGAAUGCUGAUCUUUGGAAAGAUUAUCAGGUCAAUACAAAAAACAGACAGAGAGGGACAUGUAGUUUUAGUGCAAAAAAAAACUCUCUUAAUAGGAAAGAAUUAAAACACACAUUUGGAAAUAUUAGUCUGUAUAUUUGGAUGUUUGCAAUUCUUGAUCAAUUUAAUCUUUUUUCUGAUAAACCAUUAUAUGAAACUUUUGUACAUUUAUGUAGUACUAAGUUCAUUGCAAGUUUUUACUGAUAGGAUUGAUCAGUUCAUUUUUUCUAGUUCAUGAACUGGUUCUUGUGCUUGGUAUAAUAUUUAUAUUUGGGAUUAACGAGGGGUGGGAAUACAGCAGGGAUUCAAUAAGAUUUCCAGAUUCUUUGAUGUUGCCAAUCAUCUACUUUAUGCAAACACGGUCUGUUGCUUUACUUGCUGCUACUACCAUCUAUAGUGGUUUACAUCAUGUCUGAUGAUUGUUUUUAUAUUAAUCAUGUUCAAUACACAAAAUUGCUAGAUUAUGAUAGGAACCAAGGUGAUAAGGAAUAAGAGAUGCCAAAAAGUCCAUCUCAGUCUUGCCUGUUCUCUGUUUGUUGUUAUGUAAAAAUGGGUAAAUUGGUAGAAAAUGAUGAGGAUGCAGGUGAUAAAUAAUAAAUUUUAUUAAAGGUGAUGAGAUGCAUGCUUUUUGAAAUUUGUAUCAUCGUGCAUGGAAAUGUUCUAGUUCUAACACUUGAAUACCUUAUUAUCCUUGUAUGCAUGAUUUCCUUCUCUUCUGAUAACAUUUUCUUCUUCAACUCUUUUUUUCCAAAAAAGAAAGAAAGAAACAAGAUGAAGAUGAAGAAAGAAAGAGAGACCAAAAUGGCCCUGUCUGACGAGAUAAAGCUAGAUGCAUUAUAAUUGUAUAUGUUUCAUAGGACAUGUCUGUGGUACAGUGACUUGGAUUCUUUAGUGCAGCAAUUGGAACAAUUAUAGAGAGGGAGCGAGAGUUGUGAUGAAUUGGAAACUUGUUCUGAACUGAGUGAUGUAAAUUUGUCCAGCUCUCUUCCACCUCAGUUCAUGACAAGUUGAAGGAGAGGGAGCGAGAGUUGCGAAAACGGAAGGAAAGAGAAGAACAAGAAAUGGAAAGGAACAAGAAAUGGAAAGCGUGCGAGUGAAGGUUCGAAGGAAUGAAGCAGUUGCGUCUUUUCAAGCUUUGCUUGUGGAAACAACCAAGGACCCUCAGGCAUCUUGGACCGAGUCGAAACCAAGGUUGGAGAAGGAUCCGCAAGGACGUGAGACAAAUCCUGAUUUAGAUCCAUCUGAUAUAGAGAAGCUCUUUCGGGAACACGUCAAGAUGCUGCAUGACGUAAUAUUUCUUAAAUGCAACAGUGUACAAAUGUUUUCAAAGAUUUGUUAGCUGGAGUUAUAAUUGCUGAAGCAGCAGCCCAGAAGACAGAAGACGGGAAAACAGUCCUUGAUUCAUGGUCAACUGCUAAACGUCUUCUGAAGCCUGAUCCUAGGUAUAACAAGAUGC